AACAGUUUUCGGCAGUGCAUAAAUCAGCAAAACAAACAAAGGGCUGUGCAGCCAGCUAAAACUGAAGAAAAGGAUUUCAGAUUGAGUCCGGGAUAUUUCACAAAGUGCGAAUGUGGCAUAGACUCCCCCUGCACUGAAGGAGCCAGAUCCCUGGAAGCAUCCAACAUUUCCUGUAGAGAGCAAGACCAGAGUCAUUACAGCACUGGCCAGGGAUGCAGGCAGUCUGAAGCAAACAUUCAAACAAAACAGUCAGCAUCGGCAGAGAGAUUUACACGGCAUGCUUGAUUUAGGAUGUCAGAUUCCCAACUGCUAUGGGGCUGAGAUGAAGUGGAUGGCCUGGGGCAAUGUCAACAUUGGGGCUUUGGCCCCUCUCAACCCACUUGUGUGAGAGGGAGAGACCAUGACCAAGUCCAGGAAACAGCUGCGGAAAAGAGUGUAAUCCCAGGCUCGGAGGUAAACCUGAGCCGCACCCAAGGAGGCUUUGAGAUUGCAUUUUGGUUAGGUCUUCAAUUUCUGGAUUUGCCAGGGUAGGCCUCACUAGAAUUUUCUGCUUAGUGAUUUCUGCAUAGCUUAUUGGGUCAUUCUGCAUUGAGGCUUGAUAUUGAGAUGCUGUGCGUGCUGCUGAGGAAAGGGCAGAGAAAACUGCACAGAGCUGAAAGCAAAGCAGAAGUAAUAUAAAUAUUAUGACAAGUUGAGUUGCAAGGCGCAUUUGAAGUGGCAUUUGAAAGGAUGAAAACAUCAGAAAAGCAUGCAUCAAACCCUACCACAGCAUGCUCAGAGUGCAUUUGUUACUUUUUUCCAGGUACAAAGGACACCCUCCAGGUAUUGAUCUUUCUGUGGCAGAGAAGAAAAAGGUAAGACAGUUUUUAAUAUUUUACUAGCCUUCACAGGUAUAUCCUGUACAAACAUGACUAUUCAUAGUAUGAGAGAGGCACGCAGAGAAAAAUGAAGCUUAAAUGUAAUUAUCACAACAAAAAGCAGCUGUCAAGCAGACAAACAUGAUUGUUUGUCAUGAACUAGAUUCACUGCAUACUUCUAAAAUACGUUUCUCAUUACCUCCCUGCUUGUCUAUUGAGUGGUUUUGAUGAGGGAUAUUGUCCAUGUCAAGAGAUGACCUAGUUAUGAUUGGCUUUUGUUUUAUUGUAGCAUCCGUAGAUUAUAUCAAAGCCAAACUGACACCUAGAGUCCUCACGAAAGCAGAAGAGUGGAAUGUUUGAGUGGACAAUGUUGGGUGGCAUCUCUGAAAUGCAUAAAUACUGGGUAACACUUUAGUUUAAGGACCAAUUCCUAAUUGGUAGCACUUUAUUUUACAGUCCUGUUCCACGUGUACAUACUAUGUAAUUAUUAUAGCAUUUACAAUAACUUUGUAAUAGCUAGGUACUAACCCUGAUCCUAUCCUUAAACCUAACCUGCCAUGUAGUUACUUUAUACUACCCAGUACUUUCUUGGGUAAGUUCACUGUAAGUAUACUGUAAAAUAAAGUGUAACUACCUUAUUCUAGAUCCCUUAAUUCAACCCCAUAUUUAAAACUCAUAUUUAACAACUACCUUAAUAACUAUUAAUACUAUAUUUCUGCCAGCUAGCAACCGGGGGUGCCGAAAUACAAUUGGGUAAACUGGCAGUGGGCGGGUUUCACAAACCAAAACAAAGACCGACAUUCUGGCACGGAACACACAUUGUCAAGGGAUAAUAACUGACUGCACAUUGUUUUUCAGAUAAAUAAGUAUGUUAACUUAGCAUGUUUCUUGAAUAUAUGCAAACAUAUAAUGGUGUUUUUUAUGCUUUUAUGUCUUAGUUUUCCCCACUUCUAGAUUUUCAUUCACUAUAGAAAUUCAUGAUAAUUAAUGAUUAAAAUAUUACUGUUAUAUGUGUAAAACUUUUAUAUUCUAACAUAAAUGUAAAAAAAAAAAAAAAUAAUAAUUUCCACCUCAAACAACAAUUUUGCCACUAAUAACUUUUUUCUUCUUUUCUGAAUUGAAGUGAAGUGAAGCGCAUGGAAUUAUUUUAUUAAUUAUUCAAUUUCAAAGGAAAUGCAUUGGUAAAUAUGAAGUUUGCAUGGGCUAUUUUGAAACAGUGAAUUAAUUCAACAUUGCUACAGUUACAUAUGUGUUGAACAAAGCCUGAUGUAAAGAUUCCAGCAUUGACCAAUGAGUCUGUCCACACUGGAGAAUCAAGAUACACAAAAGACAGAAAAUCAACAUGAUAUGUUAAAAACGUGAUAUAUAUCAAAAAAUACAUUUAGAUCAGAUGAGCAGCGGUGCCUGGAGUGGACUUGCACCAUGUCAAAAAUAGAAAUGGGCUAAAGACGCAAAACAACCGGCUCUUCAAGCAUAGACAGUUUCACCAAUUAUUGCGGGUGUGAUUUAGCGUCUGGCGCCACUGUAGUGUUAACAAAAACAAACUGAUGGAAUUUUGCCACAUAGCAACUAUGACAGGAUGGCCAUCAAGGGAAUGUUUUGUUUUCAUUAAUUUUUGAGUCACUCAAUAGGAGGUCGCUGUCAGUUGAAUGUUAUUGCAGCACUUGUUGACAACAUGUGAUUACCGCGACCGCAGCUGUGACUCAACCCUCGGAAACACAAGAGUGACACUGACUCUGACAUAAAGAGACAUUCCCACAACAGGUCAGACCAACCUCUGCUUUGUGAUGCCUUCCGGCGGCAGACCUCUCAAACUCAUCUCACCUAAUACACGCUCAAACUGCCCUUCCUGUCAUUGCCCUCUGAUGAUUGAUGACUGCGAGCGAGGAACAGACAAGUUGGAGAAGAAAAAGAGAUUACAAUCUUAGAUGCCAAAAUAUUCUAAUAAGAAAUGAAAAGGCUGUGGGAUGUUAAAAAUACGCUGAAAGCUUUUUGGUCUCGUUUCGACUUGCAUCAAGUAAAAAUCUUUGUAUUGCACUCUAUGUCUUUCUUGUGCUACAAAUGAUGCUCUGUCCUGAAAAUCCACUAUAUCAGAGCCUUAAGUGCAAUAGCAUUGUUGUGAAUAUAGAUAACACAUAUUAGAAACAAAGAUCCUGUGCUUCUCAA
ensembl:lncRNA